AUUACUCACGUAGCUCUGCGGCGAGCUUCCAUUCUCUGUGCAGACAAGAACGUGCCUGUAUCACUCUGGCGGUGCCUCGCUUUCCCUCUGCUGUUGCCAGCGUGGUUCUGCGUGAGAGACAGAGGAGAAAAACAGAGCGACGUAGAGAGAAAAAAAGAUGGAGAAACAGUUAAAGAGUUGUGCUGCACUCUCUCGGGUGGCUUCAGCCCGCAGCUCUUCACAAGUUAUGACGCUCUUCGACGCAUUACCACUGCCAAAUGAAGAUCAUUUAAUUACAUUAUUAUGCAGUUUGACUCAUUCAGGCCGAUCUGUGGACUGGUUGCAUGUAACUCAUUGAUAGUCGUAUGGAGGCCUCCUGUCAAGCUGCUGUCACGGCAGGGGAGCAGCCAAUCUAUCACACCAUCGAGACACAUUCUUCUCACCUGCUCUGCGCCGGCACCGUGCCGUACCAGCCCUUUAAUAAACAGCCAACAUGAUC